AUAUUAUAUUAUAUUAUAUUAUAUUGAUAUAGAGCUCCAGGAGUCCGCAAACGGCAGCAAUCCCUUCUCCUCCAUGCUGUGGUUCAGUCUGACAGCUCAUUGGUCAAUGGGCAGCAGCUCAUUUGCAUUAAAGCUACAGACACCAGAAACAGCGCAUUCUGAAGGGACAGAAACAGAGGGGAAUAGCGGUCAUUUCCACCCGUAAACAAACCAGCGGUAAAUGUUUCCACGCAGGUGUUGGCGCUGCGUGCGCUCUGUUCGCGGCGCGGAGAUGAAGGGCUGCGGUCGGUAGAUAGUGAGGAGGACGUUCACACAGAGGCUGACCAAGGAGCCCGGAGGCUGUUAUCAUGGGAAAGGGAGCCCCUGAACAGAUGCUCUACCUGCUGCUGUUGCCCAAUUCCAGAGUUCACUCCCGGUCGCCCUGUAAACACCACGCUCACUACAAGACUUCAUCAUGAAAUUGAAAUUGAUAUUCUAUGCUGUAAAGAAAUGGACCGCUGGCACUGCAGAAGCAAUGUCCCGCAAUAUCAUUAAACAGGCUGGCAGGGCCGGGCUCCAUCUUACCAGUUCACUUUCUCCAUGUCCACAUCGAGGAUAUGUGGCCCUGACUUUACUAGCUGGUGAGAACAACAUGGCGUCCUUGAGAAUGUGUGUGAGGGAGUGCAAAGGAGCAGGUGAUGGCGAGAGCGAAAGCAGGUGAAAGGCGAGUGGUUGUACUGUAUAUAAAAGACUGGAUUUCCAUUUCGGACCAUAGUUUGGAAGGAUCAACUUCAGGUAGGGCGGCAAUCUGUCCUUCUCUCUCUCUCUCACACACACACACACACACACACACACACACACACACACACACACACACACACACACACACACACACACACACACACACACACACACAUAUACACAUAUGCAAACACACACACACACACACACACACACACACACACACACACACACACACACACACACACACACACACACACACACACACACACACACACACACACACACACACACACACACACACACACAUAUAUACAAA